rnacentral:lncRNA from 1 species
CAAUUAUUAUUUAUUUAGAAUCUCUUCUGUGUAAUAUUAAUUUUUCUGAAAAUCUUUAUAAAACUGUCACUAUACAUCCAUAAUUAAGUAGAUUGCAGUAUUAGGACUGUGCUAUUUGGUUACUCUUUAUUUCAUUUGUUGGUCUGGAAAGAAAAUUGCCUAUUUUCAAGUCAAUGCAUAAAUGUCUCCAAAAAAAUACAAUUUGUUUCUAGAGUCCUAACUAUUUCUUGACAUACACUUUCAAUUUUCUUUGUUAAAAUUUUAGACUCACUUCUACCAUGUAUGUUUUUAAUUGAAAUGAAAUCUUUCGGUUUGAAGGCUUUUCUGAUUCCUUUAAGCUCUGAUAUAAUUUCAUGUGCUAGUUCUUUGAAAUUCAUCCCUUUAUUUCCUCGCCACCCUGUAAUUUUUGUUGUCAAAUGUUGGCCUUCUUGGCUUAAAACUUUGUUUUUUCCUUCAUAUUUACUUUUCCCCCUAUGUUCUUGACAGUUUCCUUUACUUUAUCUUCCAUUAUUUCUUUCUGUUAUUUCUCCCAGCAGUAUUAUUUUUAAGUUCUGGAAUCUUUCAUGUUCUUGAUGCAUUUUGUCUUUGAAUUUUUUCUAGGGAGUUUGAACAGGUUGAGUAUUCCAUAUCUGAAAUGCUUGGAACAAGAAUUGUUUCAGAUUUCUGAGUUUAAGAUUUUUUUAAUAUUUGCAUGAGUUUACUGUGUUAUCUUAGGAAAGAGACCUAAGUUUAAACACAAAAUUCAUUUAUGUUUCAUAUACACCUUGUACACAUAGCCUGGA